AUUGAACGCUGGCGGCACGCUUAACACAUGCAAGUCGAACGGCAGCAUGUUUGUGUAGCGAUACUUGAAUGAUGGCGAGUGGCGGACGGGUGAGUAAUGCAUAGGGAUCUACCUUGUAGAGGGGGAUAACGUUAGGAAACUGGCGCUAAAACCGCAUACGACUCUGAGGAGGAAAGCAGCCUGUUAAAGGGUUGUGCUAGAAGAGGAACCUAUGUCAGAUUAGCUAGUUGGUGGGGUAAAGGCCUACCAAGGUGACGAUCUGUAGCUGGUCUGAGAGGAUGAACAGCCACACUGGGACUGAGACACGGCCCAGACUCCUACGGGAGGCAGCAGUGGGGAAUAUUGGACAAUGGGGGCAACCCUGAUCCAGCGAUGCCGCGUGUGUGAAGAAGGCCUUCGGGUUGUAAAGCACUUUCAGUAGGGAGGAAAGGUUGGUGGUUAAGAGCUGCUAGCUGUGACGAUACCUACAGAAGAAGCACCGGCUAACUCUGUGCCAGCCGCCGCCGUAA
rnacentral:rRNA from 1 species